GGUCGAGUAGACCAAGGUGCUCGGGAGAACCCUCGUUAAGGAACUCGGCAAUACAGCGACCGUAACUUCGGGAUAAGGUCUGCCCCGCCACACUGUUCGCAGUCGUGGCUUGCCUGUAAGUUUCGAAUACAAAAAAUUCUAUAUCGGAGCUACAGUCUCUUCGCAUUAUCUGUUGAUAGUGUGGCGGGGCCGCAGCGAAAGAACCCAUGCGACUGUUUAUCAAAAACACAGGUCCGUGCUAACUCGAAAGAGGAUGUAUACGGGCUGACGCCUGCCCAGUGCUGGAAGGUUAAAGGGCGGUGUGCAAGCACCAAACUGAAGCCCCAGUGAACGGCGGCCCUAACUAUAAGGGUCCUAAGGUAGCGAAAUUCCUUGUCAGGUAAGUUCUGACCCGCACGAAUGGCGUAACGAUAUGGGCACUGUCUCAACGAGGGACCCGGUGAAAUUGCAUUAGCGGUAAAGAUGCCGUUUACCCGCACCAAGACGGAGAGACCCCGUGCAGCUUUACUACAGCUUGGCAUUGUGUCCGAGUCCGACAUGUGUAGUAUAGGUGGGAGACUUUGAAGCAUUGACGCUAGUCGAUGUGGAGUCGAAAUAUGAAAUACCACCCUUGUCGUGCUUUGACACUUACCCAGCCCGUUAUCCGGGUUGGGGACCGUGUCUGGUGGGUAGUUUAACUGGGGCGGUUGCCUCCUAAAGAGUAACGGAGGCGUUCAAAGGUUGGCUAACUUCGGAUGGAAAUCGAAGUGAUAGUGUAAGCGCACAAGCCAGCUUGACUGCGAGACAUACACGUCGAGCAGGUACGAAAGUAGGAGCUAGUGACCCACUAUUGGAAAGUGGAAUCGGUAGUGCUCAACGGAUAAAAGCUACGCCGGGGAUAACAGGCUUAUAGCGCCCAAUCGUCCACAGAGACGGCGCUGUUUGGCACCUCGAUGUCGGCUCGUCCUAUCCUGGGGCUGAAGCAGGUCCCAAGGGUUUGGCUGUUCGCCAAUUAAAAAGGUACGCGAGCUGGGUUCAGAACGUCGUGAGACAGUUCGGUCCCUAUCUGGUGUGGGCGUAAGGAAAUUUGAGGAGAGUUGCUCCUAGUACGAGAGGACCGGAGUGAACGAACCUCUGGUGUACCGGUUGUCGCGCCAGCGGCAUGGCCGGGUAGCUAUGUUCGGACGGGAUAAGCGCUGAAAGCAUCUAAGCGCGAAGCCUCUUCCAAGAUUAGUUUUCCCCAUUAGGCUCGUUAUAGACUAUGACGUUGAUAGGCGCCAGGUGUACGCACAGUAAUGUGUUCAGCCGAGGCGUACUAAUAGCCAAUUGACUUUUUCUU
rnacentral:rRNA from 1 species